rnacentral:lncRNA from 1 species
GCCCGUGGCCAGCUCCUGGGCCCCAGAGGAGCUGCUGUGGAGGGUGCUACAUGGCUGCUGGUGCUGCCCAGCCCCUUGCUGUGGCCCUGGGCCUUCCAUGGCUGCUGUUGAGGUGGCCACUGCUCAUCAGGGCUAGGACAAGGGGCAGGAGUUGCAGCGGCCACCACACCCGUGUAUCUCUGGAAGAAACUGGACCAGCCGGGUAGGCCUGGAGGUGCUGCCCCCUCUCCCCACAUAGCCUGGGUGUGGCCACCAGUCCUGCUCUUGGUUCUCCAUGGGGGCUCUGCAGUGACCACUGCUGCCCGUCACAAGAGCCCACAGCUGUACCCUUGGCCAAGGCCACACUCUGGUCCGUGGGGUAGGGCCUGCUGUGCAGGACCAGCCCUCACCCCUGCCUCAGUGCAGCGCCUCUGGACCACCAGCCACUCUGGGAUCUGUGGUCCCCAAGGGACCCUGAGGAUUUGUUGCAGAUGGGUAAACUGAGGCAGUGCCCCAUCUCCUGGUGUGUGGCUGAGCCUAUCUGUGGUUGGCUGUUGCAUCCCUCUGGGCGCCAGCGCCCCCAUCCAGGGAGGGGAGGCAGCCCCCUCUCCUGGCUGGGCAUUUACUGAAGGCCUCCAUACCGGAGCCUGGGAAAGGCAGAGUUGCCCUUGGCUACGGGGCAGGGUGUGCCAUUGUGUGUGUGGAGUGCCUGCAGCAGGUAUGCAGGUGGGUAUGCACGUGUGAAAGUGUGCCACAGGGAGUGUGGGGCACUGCGUGCAGGUACACAUGGGUGCAUGUGGGCGUGUGUGGGUGUAGGUAUAUGUGUGCAGGUGUGUGAGUGUGUGCAGGUACCUGUGGGCAUAAGUGUGUCUGUGCAGGUUUGUGGGUUGUGCUGUUGGGAGCAUGUGGGUGUAUGCAGAGUGUGAGAGGUGUGCAGCUGUGCAGGUGUGUGUGGGUGUGCCAGGUGUAGGAGUGUGCAUGUGUGAGCAGGUGUGUGGGCAUGUGCAGGUGUGCAGGUCUACCUCAUCGUACUCAGAACAGGAGAGCAGUCUGUUGUCAGUGACACUCACUGGGUGACCUGGUGGCCACAGCUGGAAGCGCCUGCUUUCAUUAUGGGUGAAGGAGUUGGCUGGCCCUGUGGCACGUCCACCCUGCAGCCAGGCUGUGAACACAGCGAAGAAGAUACCCUCAGAGCCAUUCUGGGCUGCAAAGACCUGCUGUUGCCCCCUGGUCCAGCAGCACCUGUGGGAGCUGGAAGCUAUCCAUGUUCCUGGGCCGUCCAGAGCAGAGGCCCCAGUUCUGGGGAGCCUGGGGUCCAUGACCGCCCACUUCUUACCACGCCUGCCUCCCCUCUGUCUUCCUUCCAAGCACACCUCCACCUGUCUGCCAGUGACUUCGAGUUGCUGGUCUUGGUCACUGGCCUCCCAUAUACCCUGACGUGGUCGGCUGCCUGUCGGAC